rnacentral:tRNA from 1 species
UGCGGGGUCAUCUAAUCGGUAGGAUACAUGGCUCUGAACCAUGGCAUCUAGGUUCGAUUCCUAGCCCCGCAG